AGCCCCGGCAGAAGACACACUGCUCGUUGAAAUUUGCAAUUUCACAUGCCAAACAUCGCGCGGCU
rnacentral:tRNA from 1 species